AUUUUAUUCGUUAAUAUUGUUGUAAUAUGUUUAUAUAUGUGUAGAUAUUUACAAAAGUUUUAUGAAUUCAAAAUAGUUAUGAUAAAUAUAAGGACCAUAUAAUAAAAUACAAAUAGUUUUGAAAUUGAAUUUGAAGUUUUGUUUUUGAAAGAAAAAAUAAUUUUAAACUUCAAAUACAGAGUUUUAGAAACUUCAAAAUAGAGUUUUUUUUAGAGAUGCUCUAAACAAACUAACAAACAACAUGAUUGAGCUGCAUGUCGGACCAACUGCAGAGCAACAAUAUCUAUUUAUUACUAUCGUCAACAACAAUGUCAUUUGCUUUAUAUUCAACGGUUUGCAUUUUGUUAAUUCACUAGUUUCUUUUGACUUAAUGACUUUCAUCGACUUUCAAGCAUCUUUUGUAUUAUUGCAAUAUAUAUCCCAAAGAGAAUCGAUCUAUCCUCAUAUCCCUUAUAGUCGGUUAUAUGAUUAAUGAAAACGAAUGAGAUUCCCAUAUUACUAAACCGUCCCUGAGCUAAAUUUCAACAAAUAAAAGCUUUAAACACCAAAAAACUAAUAAAAAUUUUAAACAUCUAAUUGCUUUAUGAAACAUCUAAUUUCGUAAAGCAAAAGUUUUAAAAAUUUUAAACAUCUAAUUAUAUAAAAAGAUGUUGCUUCUCUCAUGUGAUGCCACCUAGGAUCCAGCUAGAAAAAUCUGUUCUUAUAAGCGUGACACGUGUCACAUCUUCUUAUAAGCGGAUCGUUUCAUUAAGUCAGGUAUAUUGGACUUCUCUUGAUUAUCUGCUAGACUUAUACGAUUAUAUUAUGUGUGGGCUUUGUUUAAUGUGUUAUGGGCUUAGUAAAAAACAAAAGCGUGGCCAGUUUUCGCCGUCACCUUCUUCCAGAAUUUAGGGAUCAUCAACUCCUCCAAAAUCUGAUUACGGUUCUAACAAUGGAGGUACUGAGAGGUCGUGUGAGAGGAGACUUCGUGAGUACUCUAUGUGUCGAUGUCUGAUCGUGUCGUUACGUUAUCGAUUCUUCACCACAGAACCGUUACAAGUUGCUUUGAUUCAACGUCAUUAAUUAUUUCCUACCCACUACAGCCAGGAUCUCUAUUCAAUGAAUCCUAAUCUUCUUCCAUACGGUGAUUCUCCACCUAUAUAAGGGUCAGGUUUUGGGAAGCAAGAAACGUGGUGAGGAGUACAGUCUCCGCCUAGACGCUAAUGUUGUCCAUUCUUUAAACUCAUGAGUCAUGCUCAUCGUAGUUGUAAAAUAUAAUCCUGCACAUGAUCUCAAAAUUUCCAGCUUUUUCAAUCCAAACAUUUAUUUCAUUCUUUGCGAGAUAGUUUCAAUACUUUUUGUUGAUGAGGUUUUAUUCUCUACACGUGUUUCAGGCGAUUAUACGACGGCAAGCUGGGAAGCUGUGUGUUCUUUUGUAGACGCCGUCAAUGGUAGGGAUUCAGAGAGACUGUCGUGAAAUAUAGUUCUAUUGAAAACAUGAGAAAUAUCAAAUUAAGGAGUUCAGACAACAGUGUAGACACAAUGGAACGUCAAUUUCUUUAUUUUUUUUCUGUGAUUAUGAAUUGAUGGCUAUUGCUUGAAUGUAAUUAGAGUUUAAUAUAUGUCACAUUCAGUCUUUGAUUUGUAUUUGGGUUCUUGUUGGUUCUGUUUCUUCCUUGGCCAGAACAAAGUGAUGUAGGUUGCUCUUGGUCGUUCCUCUUCUGAUGAAAUCCAUCAUGCCAACUUCAAAUCUUCCAAGGUUGUGUUACUCUGCUUCUUACAUUUUUUUUGUGGUCUAAAGCUUCUUACAAUAUUUGUUUUAUAUUACUUGGUAUUUUACAUAUUUUUUUGGAAUAUUAUUUCAUCUGCGACAUGGUGAUGAUGGACUGCUUAUUAUUGAUAUGCCAAAGGAAGAGGUUGAAAGAUGGAACAACAACUAAGAUAAUAAGAAGAAGAGAGUAAAGGGAUGAUGAGGAAACACAAGUCUUUUGCAGAGCUAUAAUGAGAUUUGUCAGAUGGAGAGACCAAAAAGAAUAAAGUUCAUGUACAUGGCUAACUAUCAGACUUGAGAACUCUGUGUUCUUUACUUCUUCUAUACAAAAAUCCAUCAUUUCCUGUGGCAUGUUACAAUAUAAACCCAGUAUGAGUUUCACCACGAGUGUUGUGAAGUGCUUGAACAGGAGAACAAAAGAUUAGCGUGAAGUAGGAAUCUAUCAUGCAUCUGACCCAACUCUCCUCCUUAAUUUACCCUAGGUCUCUGUACUUCUCCAACCUAUCUUAAUUUACCCUAGGUCUCUGUACUUCUCCAACCUACAUAACCCACCCACGAUCUCACCUCUGGUAAUCACACCUUUCAUUCUAUUCGUUUCCAUUAUAUCGUGUUAGCCAUUAAUAAAUUUCAAAUUUUGAACACUGCAAAUCAUAAAUACUUACCAUUAAAAAAUCAGAAAGCCAUUGGUCAUACUUUUUUUUGUCAUCUAUGAAUUGCAUUUAACGAAAGUUGAGGUACAACAAGGAUGAUCCUAGACAUGUAUGCACUUUACCAAAAUCAGAUUAACCAACAUCAUAAGCUGAUUUGUCCAGCUAUGACAAGGGUCCAAAUCUUAAGAAACUAUAAAGGAUCCUGAUCACUCCAACUAUGAAGGCAAGCAAAAUAUAUUUUAUCAUAUAUAAUCUAUGUUCACCUAGAAUUUUCGAAAAGAUAAAAAUCAUUAUCAUAUACAUUUUUUUUUGGAAGAAACCAAAGACACAAACCAACAAAUCAUACAACAAAAUAAUAACUUAGAAUACAGGUAAAGUAUAUCCCGCCCGUAGGGCGGGCCGACCCUAGUCUAUUUAUAAAAAUGAGUUCAAGUUUUUUCUCCUAGAGAGAGUGCGAAUCCUUCUUCGUCCAAAAUGUUCUAUUUUAAAUUUUUGCUUUAGGCUCCACAUAAGAGUAGGCCGGGCUGCUUACAUUAUUCGUUUUUGAAAAAUACAUAUUAGGAUAUAUGUGUAUGUCUUGGACUUUGGUAUGUAUUUCUGAAAAUGGCUAUCUAGCCUAUCUUACUAUUUCUUACAAUUAUUAAACGGUUUUCUGUAUAUUGAUUUUUUUAUGAACUAUAUGAUACACAUCUGGAUUCGGAUGAUGAUCUAAGACCAUCUUCAUUGGUUAACUCUAUUUCUCAAAAUAUAUAAUUCUAUAAAAGAAUUGAAUUCUACUCCUGGAAAAGCUAGAUUAUAGAGUGCGAGUGCACAUGCACCCAUAACUAUUUACAUUAAGAAUUUUUUUAAUAGAAGAUAUAAGGUAAAAGUGCACCCACAAUUUCAGAAGAACCUGAGUUCAAUGAUCCUAUUUUUAAACUUAUACACCAUUAUAUUCAAUAAUUAUAUGAUUCAUGUUAGUCAUGUGCAUCCAGUAAAAAAAUAUUUAUACUCCAAUAAUAUUCUAUUUUAGAGUGAAAAAUAAAAUAUAAAUAAAAAAUAAACAUUUUACUCCAUUUAAGACAUUUUCAAUAAAACUCUAUUUUCUCUUUUAUAUUUUCCUCUAAAAUAGAGUUAUUUCUAUUUUAGAAGAAAAUAUAAAGGAGAAAAUAAAGUUUCAUUGGAGAUGUUUUCUAAAGUAAACCUAUUUUUUACAUUAUUAUAGAAUAAAAUAUAGAGUUGGAUUGAUUUUUUUUAUUCUAAACUUUAUAUUAAAGUAAGAAACAAGGGUUUGAUCUGCACUUUCAAAGCUUGAAAUGGAUAUAUUUCCUUGAUUAGUUUUCUUUUUUUUGUUUUUUGAUAUAGUAUAUGUUAAUAAUUUGUGUUUUUAACUGUUCAAACGAGUGGAAGUUCCCUUAGUCCAAUGGUUUGGCUAAGGUUCAUUAAUGCUUUUUUUUUUAAUAUAAAUAUUUAUUAAUCUAUCGGAGAAUCGGGAAUUUCAGAUCCAGUUACAAACCCGUUUCAUUAAUGCUUUUACACCUUCAAUUCUCGAAGAAAAUGAUUUAUUAAACAAUUAUGUAGGCUACGGAGGAAAGACUUACAAGAGAUUUUCAACAUGGUGCAAGUAAACUCGGUCAGGCGUGAUCUUCGUAGUACGGCUCGGGUGAUGCAGUUAAGUGUAGAUUCUUAUAAGGCAUGUUGUAUUAUCGGUGGUCUUAUCGUCUAUAUAAUAUUUCUCAUAAUUGUAAUAUUAUAAUAAAUCAGCAUUAAAAAAACUGUUCAAACUAAUCUUAUUAUUUUCUAAUCCGUGUUUUCCAAAUUUUAUUUUUUCAGAAGUUUAAUUCUAUUAAAAAUUAAUUUGUUUGUAUAUAUAAUAACUUGCUGAUUUAUUUAUCAUAUAGGCAAUUCAAUACCUAACAUAUUUUUCGUAAUGGGUCUCAAUAAAAACAAACAUCCUUCUAUUGUGUGACCUUUAUUGUUUCCAAAAAGUUCACUCGGUUUAUAGGUUGUUAGACGUGUAGAGCGUCAAAAUAAAUUACCUUAGAUCUUAUAAUUAGUGUGUUUUACAUUUGUCACAAAAUGUUCAAUUUGUCCAAAUUUAGAACAUGUCCAACUAAGUUUCAAAUAGGACAUAUGGGAUUGGAGCUGCUUUAAUGGCUCUAUUGACACAAGCAGCUAUAUUACAUCUCCUAGUAUGCUAACCAACUAUAUUUCUCUUUUACAAUAAAAAGAUACAGUUAAAGCACAUUACACUAAAUGAUUAUAAUAUAAUAACAAUGUAGUACAACGUAAACAUAUGGUAUAUAUUUAUUAAAAAAAAUUGGAUUUGUUAUCUAAGUUGUGCUUAUAUAUAUCUAAUUAAACUAGAGUCCAUUAAUUGCAAUAAUCUUUUUUGUCCGAUUCUUUUUUGUCUGCAAUUAAACGCAAUAUCUUGGAUUUAGGAUGGCCGAAGACAUUUCUACGAAUUAAGGUGGCGCUUUUUCUUAAUACUAUUGGACGAAAACAUAUAAUUUGUUACGUGUCAAAAGAAUUGUGUCUCACGGAAUAAUUUAUUGAAAACGUGCACAGUUUGACCAAUAUUAAGUGCAUACU